AUUGAACGCUGGCGGCAGGCCUAACACAUGCAAGUCGAGCGGAUGAAGGGAGCUUGCUCCUGGAUUCAGCGGCGGACGAGUGAGUAAUGCAUAGGAAUCUGCCUGGUAGUGGGGGAUAACGUCCGGAAACGGGCGCUAAUACCGCAUAGGUCCUGAGGGAGAAAGAGGGGGAUCUGCGGACCUCACGCUAUCAGCUGAGCCUAGGUCGGAUUAGCUAGUUGGUGGGGUAAAGGCCUACCAAGGCGACGAUCCGUAACUGGUCUGAGAGGAUGAUCAGUCAAACUGGAACUGAGACACGGUCCAGACUCCUACGGGAGGAAGCAGUGGGGAAUAUUGGACAAUGGGCGAAAGCCUAAUCCAGCCCUGCCGCGUGUGUGAAGAAGGUCUUCGGAUUGUAAAGCACUUUAGGUUGGGAGGAAGGGCAGUAAGUUAAUACCUUGCUGUAUUGACGGUACCAACAGAAUAAGCACCGGCUAACUUCGUG
rnacentral:rRNA from 1 species